rnacentral:tRNA from 1 species
CCAUCGGUGGUUCAGUGGUAGAAUGCUCGCCUGCCACCCGGGCGGCCCGGGUUCGAUUCCCGGUCGAUGCA